UACGUAGGGACCAAGCGUUGUCCGGAAUCAUUGGGCGUAAAGAGCGUGUAGGCGGCUUGUUAAGUCUUGCGUGAAAUCUCGGGGCUCAACCCCGAGCGGUCGUGAGAAACUGGAAGGCUAGAGUGUGGCAGAGGGGGUGGAAUUCCACGUGUAGCAGUGAAAUGCGUAGAGAUGUGGAGGAACACCGAUGGCGAAGGCAGCCCCCUGGGCUAACACUGACGCUCAUGCACGAAAGCGUGGGGAGCAAACAGG
rnacentral:rRNA from 1 species